rnacentral:rRNA from 1 species
GAUUCCCCUAGUAACGGCGAGUGAAGCGGGAAAAGCUCAAAUUUGAAAUCUGGUCGUCCACGGCGGCCCGAGUUGUAGUCUAGAGAGGCGUUAUCCGCGGCGGACCACGUACAAGUCCUUUGGGAUGAGGCGUCAUAGAGGGUGAGAAUCCCGUCCAUGACGUGGACUACCGUCGCUUUGCGUUGCGCCUUCAAAGAGUCGAGUUGUUUGGGAAUGCAGCUCAAAACGGGUGGUAAAUUCCAUCUAAAGCUAAAUACAGGCGAGAGACCGAUAGCGAACAAGUACCGUGAGGGAAAGAUGAAAAGAACUUUGGAAAGAGAGUUAAACAGUACGUGAAAUUGCUGAAAGGGAAACGCUUGAAGUCAGUCGCUUCGGCCGGGACUCAGUCGGGCUUUUGCCCGGCGUACUUCCCGYGUCGAGGGGCCAGCGUCAGUUUUCGGCGUCGAAGAAGGGUCGAGGGAAUGUGGCACCUUCGGGUGUGUUAUAGCCCUCGAUCGGACGCGGCGCCGGGGACUGAGGAACGCUUUAACAGGAUGCUGGCGUAAUGGCUUUAAGCGACCGUCUUGA